UACGUAGGGGGCGAGCGUUGUCCGGAUUUAUUGGGCGUAAAGAGCGUGUAGGCGGCCAGGUAGGUCUGCUGUGAAAACUCGAGGCUCAACCUCGGAACUGCCUUUGAUACUGGCGAUCUUAGAGUCCGGGAGAGGUGAGUGGAACUCCGAGUGUAGAGGUGAAAUUCGUAGAUAUUCGGAAGAACACCAGUGGCGAAGGCGGCUCACUGGCCCGGUACUGACGCUCAGGUGCGAAAGCGUGGGGAGCAAACAGG
rnacentral:rRNA from 1 species